rnacentral:rRNA from 1 species
AUCCUGGCUCAGGAUGAACGCUGGCGGCGUGCCUAACACAUGCAAGUCGAACGAGGUAUUUUGAUUGAAGUUUUCGGAUGGAUUUCAAGAUACCGAGUGGCGGGCGGGUGAGUAACGCGUGGGUAACCUGCCUCAUACAGGGGGAUAACAGUUAGAAAUGGCUGCUAAUACCGCAUAAGCGCACGGUACUGCAUGGUACAGUGUGAAAAACUCCGGUGGUAUGAGAUGGACCCGCGUUGGAUUAG